CAUAAUGUAGCUUAAUUAAAGCAUCUCGCUUACACCGAGAAAAUGUCCGUGGAAAUCGGACCUUUAUGA
rnacentral:tRNA from 1 species